AGGGCACCACAAGAACGCGUGGAGCAUGUGGCUUAAUUUGACUCAACGCGGGAAAUCUUACCGGGUCCGGACACACUGAGGAUUGACAGGCACUAUACGGCACCCCACUCACUCUGUGGGCGUGGUACCGUAGCUAAAUAUGCUAGUCCUUUCAUGAUUAUGUGAUAGGUGGUGCAUGGCCGUUCUUAGUUCGUGGAGUGAUCUGUCUGCUUAAUUGCGUUUCGCUAAAGGAUCUUACAGGGCACAGCUUCUGGUGUGCUAUAGCUAUGCUACGCCUCACCGGUCUUACAGCUCAGCGGUCAGUGCGUCUUAGGCUAAGCCUCGGAUGCUUCUUAAGCUCAGCUAGACCAUACGUGCGGCUAUAUGGCUCACUCGCUAGGGGCACUAUAUGUGAACUUCUGAUCCUGAAAGCAACGAACGUGACCGCAACCUCUUGUUGUGCUAGCUCUAUAGCACAGCACAAACUAGAGGGACCGCUGUUACUUUUCUUAAACCAGAGGAAGGUUGCGGCAAUAACAGGUCUGUGAUGCCCUUCGAUGUUCCGGGCUGCACACGUGCUACAAUGAUCAUUGCAGUGAGCAUCUCUGUUUUUCACUUAUAGCUUGGUGAUAAUUCAUUAUCUCUGAACUAGGUCUACCCCUUACACGGCUCUACGCUAUAGUGGCGCUCUGUUCUAACUCUGGACUACACCCUCUUGGCUUCGGUCAUACGUAUGAGGGCUGUACCUGGUCUAGUUCAGAUAUGGAGUACCGCAUCAGCCGUCUGAGCCUUCGUGGGGUGACCU
rnacentral:rRNA from 1 species